UAGGGAAUCUUCGGCAAUGGACGAAAGUCUGACCGAGCAACGCCGCGUGAGUGAAGAAGGUUUUCGGAUCGUAAAACUCUGUUGUUAGAGAAGAACAAGGACGUUAGUAACUGAACGUCCCCUGACGGUAUCUAACCAGAAAGCCACGGCUAACUACGUGCCAGCAGCCGCGGUAAUACGUAGGUGGCAAGCGUUGUCCGGAUUUAUUGGGCGUAAAGCGAGCGCAGGCGGUUUCUUAAGUCUGAUGUGAAAGCCCCCGGCUCAACCGGGGAGGGUAAUUGGAAACUGGGAGACUUGAGUGCAGAAGAGGAGAGUGGAAUUCCAUGUGUAGCGGUGAAAUGCGUAGAUAUAUGGAGGAACACCAGUGGCGAAGGCGGCUCUCUGGUCUGUAACUGACGCUGAGGCUCGAAAGCGGGGGGAGCAAACAGG
rnacentral:rRNA from 1 species